rnacentral:misc_RNA from 1 species
CCUCACUCCAUAGACAAGAAGAAGAAAAAGAAGAUGAGCAUCUCACUGUAUACACCAGUUUCUCCCAAAAACCAAUUACAAGUAUUUUUGAAACCAAAUCAGAAUCCCCUUCUACUAGGUGAUUCUGUUCUUCCAAAACGUGUUUCAUUUGCUAGAAGAAAAUGUACCACAAGGGCUCUGCUUUCACAUUCCAAAGAUGCUGUUUUGAAAGAGUUUCACGAGAAAAAAGCACUAAAGAUUAUCGCAGGAUUGCAAAAUCUGGACAAAGAGAAUGUGGCUUCUGUUGUUACUGCUGCAGAUAAGGGAGGAGCAACACAUGUAGAUAUAGCUUGUGACCCUGAGCUGGUGAAACUUGCUAUAAGCCUGACUUCCCUUCCGGUUUGUGUUUCUUCUGUGGAUCCUUCAGCAUUUCCAGCUGCUGUGGAAGCAGGAGCCUUGAUGGUUGAGAUCGGAAACUAUGACUCGUUCUAUGAGAAGGGAUUGGUGUUCUCUCCUGAACAGAUUUUGAACCUAACGAAGGAGACAAAGAAGUUACUUCCAUCAGUGAUAUUAUCAGUCACUGUGCCUCACACGCUAAGCCUUCCUGAUCAGGUCAAGCUGGCCGAGCAAUUAGAACUGGAAGGUGUUGACAUCAUCCAAACAGAAGGAGGAAAAUGCUCUACUCCAUCAAAGGCUGGUAUUCUUGGAUUAAUCGAGAAGGCAACACCAACACUAGCAGCUGCUUAUUCGAUUUCAAGGGCUGUCAAUAUCCCCGUCAUGUGUUCAUCUGGAUUGA